ACGAACGCUGGCGGCGUGCCUAAUACAUGCAAGUAGCACGCUGAAGGAGGAGCUUGCUCUUCUGGAUGAGUUGCGAACGGGUGAGUAACGCGUAGGUAACCUGCCUGGUAGCGGGGGAUAACUAUUGGAAACGAUAGCUAAUACCGCAUAACAGUAGAUGUUGCAUGACAUUUGCUUAAAAGGUGCAAUUGCACCACUACCAGAUGGACCUGCGUUGUAUUAGCUAGUUGGUGGGGUAACGGCUCACCAAGGCGACGAUACAUAGCCGACCUGAGAGGGUGAUCGGCCACACUGGGACUGAGACACGGCCCAGACUCCUACGGGAGGCAGCAGUAGGGAAUCUUCGGCAAUGGACGGAAGUCUGACCGAGCAACGCCGCGUGAGUGAAGAAGGUUUUCGGAUCGUAAAGCUCUGUUGUAAGAGAAGAACGAGUGUGAGAGUGGAAAGUUCACACUGUGACGGUAUCUUACCAGAAAGAGACGGCUAACUACGUG
rnacentral:rRNA from 1 species